rnacentral:lncRNA from 1 species
UAGCACUUAGGGGUCAUCUUGUUUCAUACCUUCGGGCUAGAAAAAUGAUAGCUAAGGGACGUGUUUACCAUCUCGUUUGAGUCCAAGACUCCAUUUCAGAAACCCGUACUUUUGAAUCAGUACAGUAGCUUGUGAAUUCCCAUAUAUGUUUCUCAAAGAUCUUUCUAGAGUUCCUCCUAAAAGGGAAAUUGAUUUUGGAAUUGAUAUUUCCCUAGAUACUCAGCC